UACGGAGGAUGCAAGCGUUAUCCGGAAUGAUUGGGCGUAAAGCGUCCGCAGGUGGAACAACAAGUCUAGUGUCAAAGACCGGGGCUCAACCCCGGAAAGGCGGUGGAAACUGUUGAACUAGAGGGUCGUAGGGGUAGAGGGAAUUCCCAGUGUAGCGGUGAAAUGCGUAGAGAUUGGGAAGAACAUCGGUGGCGAAGGCGCUCUACUGGACGGCACCUGACACUCAGGGACGAAAGCUAGGGGAGCGAAUGGG
rnacentral:rRNA from 1 species